rnacentral:rRNA from 1 species
UACGUAGGGGGCGAGCGUUGUCCGGAUUUAUUGGGCGUAAAGGGCUCGUAGGCGGUUUGUCGCGUCGGCCGUGAAAACCUGCAGCUUAACUGUGGGCGUGCGGGCGAUACGGGCAGACUGGAGUACUGCAGGGGAGACUGGAAUUCCUGGUGUAGCGGUGGAAUGCGCAGAUAUCAGGAGGAACACCGGUGGCGAAGGCGGGUCUCUGGGCAGUAACUGACGCUGAGGAGCGAAAGCGUGGGGAGCGAACAGG